UACGAAGGGGCUAGCGUUGCUCGGAAUCACUGGGCGUAAAGGGUGCGUAGGCGGGUCUUUAAGUCAGGGGUGAAAUCCUGGAGCUCAACUCCAGAACUGCCUUUGAUACUGAGGAUCUUGAGUUCGGGAGAGGUGAGUGGAACUGCGAGUGUAGAGGUGAAAUUCGUAGAUAUUCGCAAAGAACACCAGUGGCGAAGGCGGCUCACUGGCCCGAGUACUGACGCUGAGGCACGAAAG
rnacentral:rRNA from 1 species